rnacentral:rRNA from 1 species
CUCAAAUCAGACAAGAUGACCCGCUGAAUUUAAGCAUAUAACUAAGCGGAGGAAAAGAAACUAACAAGGAUUCCCCUAGUAGCGGCGAGCGAAGCGGGAACAGCCCAAGAUGAAAAUCCCUUCGGGGAGUUGUAGUCUGAGUGUCCUUGGGUGGGUCAGUGCGGGCAAGUCUUCUGGAAUGAAGCGCCAUGGAGGGUGAGAGCCCCGUCCAUCCCGCACAGGAUCCAUUCGUACAAGGACGCUUCAACCGAGUCGGGUAGCUUGGGAAUGCUGCUCUAAUUGGUGGUAAAUCUCAUCAAAGGCUAAAUAGUGGUGGGAGACCGAUAGCGAACAAGUACCGUGAGGGAAAGAUGGAAAGAACUUUGAAAAGAGAGUGAAAAGCACUUGAAACCGUCACGGGGGAAGCGGAUUGCGUGAGUGAUGGUGUCGCUUGUUCAGCGCUUUAUUGCGUGCAUUCUGGCGGCGCCGUGCCGGCGUGGCUGGCUGGACUGUGAUUUUGACAGUCUCGGCUGGUGAGGGCUCCCUCGUAUGAGGUGAGGACGCGGGCAAAAUGACGC